rnacentral:lncRNA from 1 species
GGCAGUGCCUCGGAAGGAGCUGGGCCUUGAGGGGGCGAUCUGCCCAGGGCAACGGCGAUCUCCACCACCGAGUUUGGCACGGUUUGAGAACCCGACGCCAAUUUGUGGGUUCGGGCGAGCGCCCUCAAUUCAGCCAACUUGCCUUUGCCCAACAUGAGAUCUGCACAGUGCAAGAAUAUACAAGUAAGAGGAGAGGCAAAGGUGAAAUGAGUGUAC